AACGAACGCUGGCGGCAUGCCUAACACAUGCAAGUCGAACGAGACCUUCGGGUCUAGUGGCGCACGGGUGCGUAACGCGUGGGAACCUGCCCUUAUGUUCGGAAUAACUCCCCGACAGGGGUGCUAAUACCGGAUAAUGUCUUCGGCCCAAAGAUUUAUCGCCUUUGGAUGGGCCCGCGUUGGAUUAGCUAGUUGGUAGGGUAAAAGCCUACCAAGGCGACGAUUCAUAGCUGGUCUGAGAGGAUGAUCAGCCACACUGGGACGGAGACACGGCCCAGACUCCUACGGGAGGCAGCAGUGGGGAAUAUUGGACAAUGGGCGAAAGCCUGAUCCAGCAAUGCCGCGUGAGUGAUGAAGGCCUUAGGGUUGUAAAGCUCUUUUACCCGGGAUGAUAAUGACAGUACCGGGAGAAUAAGCUCCGGCUAACUCCGUG
rnacentral:rRNA from 1 species